rnacentral:rRNA from 1 species
UCGGCGGGGUCACGCCCCGGGUGCGUCGCAGCCCCGGAACCAGGCGCCCGCCGGAGGAACCAACCAAACUCUUUCUGUAGUCCCCUCGCGGACGUAUUUCUUACAGCUCUGAGCAAAAAUUCAAAAUGAAUCAAAACUUUCAACAACGGAUCUCUUGGUUCUGGCAUCGAUGAAGAACGCAGCGAAAUGCGAUAAGUAAUGUGAAUUGCAGAAUUCAGUGAAUCAUCGAAUCUUUGAACGCACAUUGCGCCCGCCAGUAUUCUGGCGGGCAUGCCUGUCCGAGCGUCAUUUCAACCCUCGAACCCCUCCGGGGGAUCGGCGUUGGGGAUCGGGACCCCUCACACGGGUGCCGGCCCCGAAAUACAGUGGCGGUCUCGCCGCAGCCUCUCCUGCGCAGUAGUUUGCACAACUCGCACCGGGAGCGCGGCGCGUCCACGUCCGUAAAACACCCAACUUUCUGAAAUGUUGACCUCGGAUCAGGUAGGAAUACCCGCUGAACUUAAGCAUAUCAUAUCCGGGAGGAAAAUUCAUUACCCAGUUUACAACUCCCACACCCAAUGGAACGUUACCAAACUGUUGCCUCGGCGGGGUCACGCCCCGGGUGCGACGCAGCCCC